rnacentral:rRNA from 1 species
UUGGAUGAGUUGCGAACGGGUGAGUAACGCGUAGGUAACCUGCCUGGUAGCGGGGGAUAACUAUUGGAAACGAUAGCUAAUACCGCAUAAAAUUAAUUAUUGCAUGAUAAUUAAUUGAAAGAUGCAAUUGCAUCACUACCAGAUGGACCUGCGUUGUAUUAGCUAGUUGGUGAGGUAACGGCUCACCAAGGCGACGAUACAUAGCCGACCUGAGAGGGUGAUCGGCCACACUGGGACUGAGACACGGCCCAGACUCCUACGGGAGGCAGCAGUAGGGAAUCUUCGGCAAUGGGGGGAACCCUGACCGAGCAACGCCGCGUGAGUGAAGAAGGUUUUCGGAUCGUAAAGCUCUGUUGUAAGAGAAGAACGGGUGUGAGAGUGGAAAGUUCACACUGUGACGGUAUCUUACCAGAAAGGGACGGCUAACUACGUGCCAGCAGCCGCGGUAAUACGUAGGUCCCGAGCGUUGUCCGGAUUUAUUGGGCGUAAAGCGAGCGCAGGCGGUUAGAUAAGUCUGAAGUUAAAGGCUGUGGCUUAACCAUAGUAUGCUUUGGAAACUGUUUAACUUGAGUGCAGAAGGGGAGAGUGGAAUUCCAUGUGUAGCGGUGAAAUGCGUAGAUAUAUGGAGGAACACCGGUGGCGAAAGCGGCUCUCUGGUCUGUAACUGACGCUGAGGCUCGAAAGCGUGGGGAGCAAACAGGAUUAGAUACCCUGGUAGUCCACGCCGUAAACGAUGAGUGCUAGGUGUUAGGCCCUUUCCGGGGCUUAGUGCCGCAGCUAACGCAUUAAGCACUCCGCCUGGGGAGUACGACCGCAAGGUUGAAA